UUUCUGUCCAUAAAUCCUCUCAGCCACGUGGCUGUGCUGGAGUCUGAAUCUACUCUGUCUUGGGAGACUGCCCAAUUUAGAGAAUGUUAACUGUCACUGACAUCUGAAAAUACUUUGAGGAGGAGUUGAUAUUUAAGCGAAUCAUGGAAAAAAAAUUUCUAAUGUUUGGCUGCUGUGUGAGGAGUAAGUUCUUCCCAGAGAAAGGAAGCCACUUGAGAAAAGACUGUGUGAAAUACAAGACAUUUUGAGAAGAAAGAAUGACAUGUUGGAGCCUAGUGCAUCAUGGGAGUAGAAUGCUGAGAUGGAGGCAAGAAAAUGGACCACAAAGUGAAGAGAUUGGGGACUAAGAUGCCAUGGCUCUUCCUCCUGGAAUGGAUCAUCCACAUGAAUAUGGAGAUAAUACUAAUGUCAUUCAUCAUAAUCUCUUGCAUGAUUUUGAAUAUAUUUGUUAGAAACAAUUUAAUGUAUAUUACCCACUGAAUCAAAAUUUGCAUCUGACUUUUCUAUUAGUCAUACAUUCAAAAACCAAAUUCUGGUGCUUAGGUUUGUGCCUCUGAAAUAUAGUAAAGAUACGCCAAAGCUAAUGUGGUUCCAGUUUUUAUUUAGUGGGUUAAGAAGAGCAAAUUCCAUUUCCAACUAUGUUGCUAUCUAGCAGCAUAACCUUAGCCAAAUCAAAUGAUCUUCCAAGGUUUCAGGUUUUUUGUAGGUAAACACAGUUUAAAAUUAAAGUUUACUUAAAAUCAUUUUUAAACUGAAAGUCUUUCGAUUUAAUUAUUUAAUUUAUUGCUUGUUAAAGUACCAUUCGUUGGCUUUGCUCUCUAAGUUCAUAUAAUUACUUUUACUUAAGAUGUCCUCCACCACUAAACUUUUAUAUGGCUAUAUAUUUGUGUGGUAUCUGUCACCAUGGUACCUAGAUAUCCAACCAACAUAACUGUGUAAAAAUAGAAGGUAUGUGGGAAGAAAAAAAUGUCAAUCCCCAUUUUUCUAUUCAAACAGGUAUUAGUGAGGCAUAAAGAUUGUAUCUAAAGUUUGUUUUUUUGAGCUUACUGCCCAUGUGAUUACAGAGUUAUUUAUGAGAAAAAGGACAAAAUUCACUAUUUAUCCAAAUGUAUGAACAUUCAAUGUAAUAUUUACAUUUGUUAAAUAAAGAAAUAAACCUCCCCCUUGGUAAUCAUUACAAAUAUAUAUCCCAAAUGACAAAUAACUAUAUAAAAAUGUAAAAACUACUACAAAUGCACACAGGCAAUAAUGCAGACGAUUAUAGUAGUAGAAAAGUGACAGCUAAAAUAGACUGCUCAUAAAGUUUACCCUUUCUGUUGUUAUUUUUUCAAUGCCACUAUUUUUAAUCGCUCUGAAGAAGCUAACAAUUUUUUUUAAUGUAUGGAAGGAAUAUAAUUAAGACGGAAAUAAUUGGUAAGGAAUAAGUUUAGAGAUAAUGAGCUGCUACUAAAUACCAAAGUAGUUGGCAGUCUAAUACAAAUCUGGAAAGAUUAGAAUCAUAGAUACACAAUUUGGAGUCACAGGUAUAAAAAUAAUAUUUUUAAAGCUGUGGGACUAGAUAUCACUUGCAA
rnacentral:lncRNA from 1 species